rnacentral:lncRNA from 1 species
AAGUGGAACACGAAAUUGGUGAAUUUAAUAGAUACAAAGUAUUGAGUACAUUAUGAAGGCACCAAGGCCAAAACUAGCAGACAUUGUGGAAACAUGUGCCGCCCUUGUCAACAUACAUAACCAUUGUUUAAUUAAAUAUCAACUGAAAUAAAACAUGCUUUGGUUUUUUUUUCCAAAUUCCACCAGGACAGCUAGAAGCUAAACGUCUAAAAAGAUGAAAUGUGACUUAAAGUCCAUCAUUUUCUUUAUAAUAAAUUAAAAAAUCCAUGUCAUUUGGACUCUGUAGUAAAGUUGUAUCAUUGUCAAUGAAAACAAUAAAAUCAAUAAUGAUCUAAGAA